UACGUAGGGGGGCAAGCGUUGUCCGGAAUCAUUGGGCGUAAAGCGCGUGUAGGCGGUUCGGUAAGUCUGCUGUGAAAGUCCAGGGCUCAACCCUGGGAUGCCCGGUGGAUACUGUCGGACUAGAGUACGGAAGAGGCGAGUGGAAUUCCCGGUGUAGCGGUGAAAUGCGCAGAUAUCGGGAGGAACACCAAUUGCGAAGGCAGCUCGCUGGGACGUCACUGACGCUGAGACGCGAAAGCGUGGGGAGCGAACAGG
rnacentral:rRNA from 1 species